rnacentral:rRNA from 1 species
AACGAACGCUGGCGGCAUGCCUAACACAUGCAAGUCGAACGAGACCUUCGGGUCUAGUGGCGCACGGGUGCGUAACGCGUGGGAACCUGCCCUUAGGUUCGGAAUAACUCCCCGAAAGGGGUGCUAAUACCGGAUAAUGUCUUCGGACCAAAGAUUUAUCGCCUUUGGAUGGGCCCGCGUUGGAUUAGCUAGUUGGUAGGGUAAAAGCCUACCAAGGCGACGAUCCAUAGCUGGUCUGAGAGGAUGAUCAGCCACACUGGGACUGAGACACGGCCCAGACUCCUACGGGAGGCAGCAGUGGGGAAUAUUGGACAAUGGGCGAAAGCCUGAUCCAGCAAUGCCGCGUGAAUGAUGAAGGCCUUAGGGUUGUAAAGUUCUUUUACCCGGGAUGAUAAUGACAGUACCGGGAGAAUAAGCCCCGGCUAACUCCGUG